UCUAUGGAGAGUUUGAUCCUGGCUCAGGACGAACGCUGGCGGCGUGCCUAAUACAUGCAAGUCGAGCGGACGAAUCAAAAGCUUGCUUUUGAUUCGUUAGCGGCGGACGGGUGAGUAACACGUGGGCAACC
rnacentral:rRNA from 1 species